rnacentral:rRNA from 1 species
CCCUUAGACGUUCUGGGCCGCACGCGCGCUACACUGACCAGUGCAACAAGCAUCCGUCCUUGGCCGAUAGGUCUGGGUAAUCUUUGAACGCUGUUCGUGAUUGGGAUAGACCUUUGCAAUUAUGGGUCUUCAACGAGGAAUUCCUAGUAAACGCAAGUCAUCAGCUUGCAUUGAUUACGUCCCUGCCCUUUGUACACACCGCCCGUCGCACCUACCGAUUGAAUGGUCCGGUGAAAUCUCGGGACGGCGGCUUGGUCGCUUGCGUCCGACUGCUGAAACUUGAUUAAACCAUAUCAUUUAGAGGAAGGUGAAGUCGUAACA